GUUUCUUUUUCUGUUGUUGGUAUUUGUUCUCCUAUGAGUCUUUGGCAAAAGGAGGGGAUAAUGUUUUUUCUAUAUAUUUCUAAGUGUAUUUUAACGGAUCUGAGAAACUAGACAAACAAAACAAUUUACCUCACACUUUUUUUAGUAAUGCAUUUAUGAGUGAAUCGUUGUUUGAGUAAGACCAAUGGCAAAUAUUUCAGUGUAUGUCCAG
rnacentral:lncRNA from 1 species